AGGAAUAUUGGUCAAUGGGCGAGAGCCUGAACCAGCCAAGUAGCGUGCAGGACGACGGCCCUAUGGGUUGUAAACUGCUUUUAUAAGGGAAUAAAGUGAGUCUCGUGAGACUUUUUGCAUGUACCUUAUGAAUAAGGACCGGCUAAUUCCGUGCCAGCAGCCGCGGUAAUACGGAAGAUCCGGGCGUUAUCCGGAUUUAUUGGGUUUAAAGGGAGCGUAGGCCGGAGAUUAAGCGUGUUGUGAAAUGUAGACGCUCAACGUCUGCACUGCAGCGCGAACUGGUUUCCUUGAGUACGCACAAAGUGGGCGGAAUUCGUGGUGUAGCGGUGAAAUGCUUAGAUAUCACGAAGAACUCCGAUUGCGAAGGCAGCUCACUGGAGCGCAACUGACGCUGAAGCUCGAAAGUGCGGGUAUCGAACAGGAUUAGAUACCCUGGUAGUCCGCACGGUAAACGAUGGAUGCCCGCUGUUGGUCUGAACAGGUCAGCGGCCAAGCGAAAGCAUUAAGCAUCCCACCUGGGGAGUACGCCGGCAACGGUGAAACUCAAAGGAAUUGACGGGGGCCCGCACAAGCGGAGGAACAUGUGGUUUAAUUCGAUGAUACGCGAGGAACCUUACCCGGGCUUGAAUUGCAGAGGAAGGAUUUGGAGACAAUGACGCCCUUCGGGGCCUCUGUGAAGGUGCUGCAUGGUUGUCGUCAGCUCGUGCCGUGAGGUGUCGGCUUAAGUGCCAUAACGAGCGCAACCCCUCUCCUUAGUUGCCAUCAGGUUAAGCUGGGCACUCUGGGGACACUGCCACCGUAAGGUGUGAGGAAGGUGGGGAUGACGUCAAAUCAGCACGGCCCUUACGUCCGGGGCUACACACGUGUUACAAUGGCAGGUACAGAGAGACGGUCCCUUGCAAAAUGGAUCAAAUCCUUAAAGCCUGUCUCAGUUCGGACUGGGGUCUGCAACCCGACCCCACGAAGCUGGAUUCGCUAGUAAUCGCGCAUCAGCCAUGGCGCGGUGAAUACGUUCCCG
rnacentral:rRNA from 1 species